rnacentral:rRNA from 1 species
AACGAACGCUGGCGGCAUGCCUAACACAUGCAAGUCGAACGAGACCUUCGGGUCUAGUGGCGCACGGGUGCGUAACGCGUGGGAACCUGCCCUUAGGUUCGGAAUAACUCCCCGAAAGGGGUGCUAAUACCGGAUAAUGUCUUCGGACCAAAGAUUUAUCGCCUUUGGAUGGGCCCGCGUUGGAUUAGCUAGUUGGUAGGGUAAAAGCCUACCAAGGCGACGAUCCAUAGCUGGUCUGAGAGGAUGAUCAGCCACACUGGGACUGAGACACGGCCCAGACUCCGACGGGAGGGAGCAGUGGGGAAUAUUGGACAAUGGGGGAAAGCCUGAUCAAGCAAUGCCGGGGGAGUGAUGAAGGCCUUAGGGUUGUAAAGCUCUUUUAGCCGGGAUGAUAAUGACAGUACCGGGAGAAUAAGCUCCGGCUAACUCCGUG